UACGAAGGGGGCUAGCGUUGCUCGGAAUCACUGGGCGUAAAGCGCACGUAGGCGGACUCUUAAGUCGGUGGUGAAAUCCUGGAGCUCAACUCCAGAACUGCCUUCGAUACUGGCGAUCUCGAGUUCGGGAGAGGUGAGUGGAACUGCGAGUGUAGAGGUGAAAUUCGUAGAUAUUAGGAAGAACACCGGUGGCGAAGGCGGCCCACUGGUCCGGUACUGACGCUGAGGUGCGAAAGCGUGGGGAGCAAACAGG
rnacentral:rRNA from 1 species